rnacentral:rRNA from 1 species
AUUGAACGCUGGCGGCAUGCCUAACACAUGCAAGUCGAACGAGUGGCGGACGGGUGAGUAAUGUCUGUGAAACUGCCUGAUGGAGGGGGAUAACUACUGGUAACGGUAGCUAAUACCGCAUACCAUCGGAUGUGCCCAGAUGGGAUUAGCUAGUAGGUGGGGUAAAGGCUCACCUAGGCGACGAUCCCUAGCUGGUCGGAGAGGAUGACCAGCCACACUGGAACGGAGACAAGGUCCAGACUCCUACGGGAGGCAGACGGGGGGAAUAUUGGACAAUGGGAGCAAGCCUGAUGCAGACAGGCCGCGUGUCUGAAGAAGGCAUUCGGGUUGUAAAGUACUUUCAGCGGGAAGGCGUUACCCGCAGAAGAAGCACCGGCUAACUCCGUGCCAGCAGCCGCGGUAAUUC